UACGAAGGGGGCUAGCGUUGUUCGGAAUCACUGGGCGUAAAGGGCGCGUAGGCGGCUUUAUAAGUCGGGGGUGAAAGCCUGUGGCUCAACCACAGAAUUGCCUUCGAUACUGUAUGGCUUGAGACCGGAAGAGGUUAGUGGAACUGCGAGUGUAGAGGUGAAAUUCGUAGAUAUUCGCAAGAACACCAGUGGCGAAGGCGGCUGACUGGUCCGGAUCUGACGCUGAGGCGCGAAAGCGUGGGGAGCAAACAGG
rnacentral:rRNA from 1 species